CCUACGGGAGGCAGCAGUGGGGAAUAUUGGACAAUGGGGGGAACCCUGAUCCAGCGACGCCGCGUGAGUGAAGAAGUAUUUCGGUAUGUAAAGCUCUAUCAGCAGGGAAGAAAGAAAUGACGGUACCUGACUAAGAAGCCCCGGCUAACUACGUGCCAGCAGCCGCGGUAAUACGUAGGGGGCAAGCGUUAUCCGGAUUUACUGGGUGUAAAGGGAGCGUAGACGGCGAUGCAAGUCUGAAGUGAAAGGCGGGGGCCCAACCCCUGGACUGCUUUGGAAACUGUAUGGCUGGAGUGCAGGAGAGGUAAGUGGAAUUCCUAGUGUAGCGGUGAAAUGCGUAGAUAUUAGGAGGAACCCCGAUUGCGAAGGCAGCGUACCGGCUCCACACUGACGCUGAGGCACGAAAGCGUGGGUAUCGAACAGGAUUAGAUACCCCUGGUAGUC
rnacentral:rRNA from 1 species